rnacentral:misc_RNA from 1 species
CCCUUUGUGAUUGCUUUCAGGCAUCUGAUCUUAUCCAGCAAAAGGUUCAUUGUAAAACCCGACUGUGAGUUUGGGAGUAUUGGACCAUAUUUAUAAUAUCACUCAGUUGUUGGUCAAGUUGAAAAGCAAUCCACUCUUGGAGGGGAGAGAAGGAUAUGGUUGAGGGUUUGUAGCCCAAGGUUGUAUUCUAUCUUGUCUCUCUCUUGAGUCUAGAGAACUCGAGAUAAUUGUCCAUAUUGUGGAAUUAUCAUAACAUGAGCUCAUUUACAACUUUCAGCAAUGGAUCUCUUGGUUCUCGCAUCGAUGAAGAACGCAGUGAAAUGCGAUAACUGGUGUGAAUUGCAUCCAAGUAACUCUAAUUUACGAAUAACACCAAGUGAAUCAUCGAGUCUUUGAACGCAAUUGCGCCCUCUCGGUCGCUUCCAAUUGGGGGUUGACUCAUAGGGGGUACGUCUGUUCGAGGGUCAUUUGAACCUCUCAAAGGGUUUUUGGCUUUAAAAACCCUUUGGAUUUGGGUCUUGCCGUGAAAAUUCUUAUCUUGGCUCACC